AUACGGAGGGUGCAAGCGUUGUUCGGAAUUACUGGGCGUAAAGCGUGCGUAGGCGGUUUGUUAUGUCAGAUGUGAAAGUCCACGGCUCAACCGUGGAAGUGCAUUUGAAACUGGCAAACUUGAGUACUGGAGGGGGUGGUGGAAUUCCCGGUGUAGAGGUGAAAUUCGUAGAUAUCGGGAGGAAUACCGGUGGCGAAGGCGACCACCUGGCCAGAUACUGACGCUGAGGUGCGAAAGCGUGGGGAGCAAACAGGAUUAGAAACCCUAGUAGUCC
rnacentral:rRNA from 1 species